rnacentral:rRNA from 1 species
UGAGCAAUCUGCCCUUCUCAUCGGAAUAAGCGUUGGAAACGACGUCUAAUGCCGAAUACGACCUCCUUUCGCAUGAUUGGAGGUGGAAAGCUCCGGCGGAGAAGGAUGGGCUCGCGGCCUAUCAGCUAGUUGGUGUGGGUAAUGGCCCACCAAGGCGACGACGGGUAGCCGGCCUGGAGAGGGCGACCGGCCACACGUGGGACUGAGACACGGCCCAGACCUCCGUACGGGAGGNAGCG